AGCAUAUCAAUAAGCGGAGGAAAAGAAACUAACAAGGAUUCCCCUAGUAACUGCGAGUGAAGCGGGAAAAGCUCAAAUUUAAAAUCUGGCGGUCUUUGGCCGUCCGAGUUGUAGUCUGGAGAAGUGCUUUCCGUGCUGGACCGUGUACAAGUCUCUUGGAACAGAGCGUCAUAGAGGGUGAGAAUCCCGUCUUUGACACGGACUACCAGUGCUUUGUGAUGCGCUCUCGAAGAGUCGAGUUGUUUGGGAAUGCAGCUCAAAAUGGGUGGUAAAUUCCAUCUAAAGCUAAAUAUUGGCGAGAGACCGAUAGCGAACAAGUACCGUGAGGGAAAGAUGAAAAGCACUUUGGAAAGAGAGUUAAACAGUACGUGAAAUUGCUGAAAGGGAAACACUUGAAGUCAGUCGCGUUGGCCGGAACUCAGCCUUGCUUUUUUGCUUGGUGCACUUUCUGGUCGACGGGCCAGCAUCAAUUUUGAUCGUCGGAUAAAGGCUGGGGGAAUGUGGCAUCUUCGGAUGUGUUAUAGCCCUCGGUCACAUAYGAUGGUUGGGAUUGAGGAUCUCAGCACACCUUUACGGUCGGGGUUCGCCCACGCUUGUGCUUAGGAUGCUGGCGUAAUGGCUUUAAAUGACCCGUCUUGAAACACGGACCAAGGAGUCUAACAUGCCUGCGAGUGUUUGGGUGGAAAACCCGAGCGCGCAAUGAAAGUGAAAGUUGAGACCCCUGUCGUGGGGGGCAUCGACGCCCGGACCAGACCUUCUGUGACGGCUCCGCGGUAGAGCAUGUAUGUUGGGACCCGAAAGAUGGUGAACUAUGCCUGAAUAGGGUGAAGCCAGAGGAAACUCUGGUGGAGGCUCGUAGCGAUUCUGACGUGCAAAUCGAUCGUCAAAUUUGGGUAUAGGGGCGAAAGACUAAUCGAACCAUCUAGUAGCUGGUUCC
rnacentral:rRNA from 1 species